GGGGUCGUAGCUCAAGCUUUGGAAGAGCGUCGCCCUUGCAAGGCGAAGGCUGUGGGUUCGAAUCCCACCGACUCCA
rnacentral:tRNA from 1 species